AAUUCAAUGCAAUCACUAUUGCCAAUCUUACUAUUUCCAAUAAGUUGACUAUUCAACGCAAUUACCUCCCAUUAAUUUUAAUAAACUGAUUGUUCUUCCAAACCAAAAAACCUCUCAUAAACUUUAUCUCUUCCUCUUCUUCUCUCUCUCUCUUUCUUUGCAACUAUUAUGUACCAGCAUGAUGUGAGUUGGGAAAUGACGAACACGACAAACAGGAUCACCCAUUAGAUCAAUGACAAGAGAAGGCUUACCACGGCGGCCACCACCACUGAGUUCAUAACGGCGGUCAAGCUCCUCCACCGCCACCUUAUCUUUCUCUGAAUCAUAUUCUCAACAUGCACACCUCCACCAGGCAUGUUCUAACUCUGUUUUGGUGGAUUUGGGUUACAAAAUUCUCUCACACCUUUAAAGGUCAAUUUUUUGAAUUGUAAAACAUAUUUACAGUAAUUGAUUCUCUUGCCACCCACUGGAGUACUGAAAAAUGAAAAUCACCCAAAAUAAUGUUCAUUAGGUCUCAGGUUAGUAAAGUAUAUAAGAAUAGAUUUGAACAUAAGAUUGCAAACUGUAAUUACUCACUUCAAAUGCUGACCAUGUACACAUUUCAUGCUUAUCUGCAAAGAUCCACUGAUGCUUCCCAUUCA